GCCUGGGUGGCUCAGUGGUUAAGCGUCUGCCUUUGGCUCAGAUCAUGAUCCAAGGGUCCUGGGAUCAAGUCCCACAUCAGGCU
rfam:Canis lupus familiaris chromosome 1, whole genome shotgun sequence.